rfam:Triticum urartu cultivar G1812 contig70117, whole genome shotgun sequence.
UCCACUGCUUAGUUUGUAAGGCACAAAGCUCUUAACCUUAUGGCCGUGGGUUCAAGCCCCAUGGUGGAG